rnacentral:rRNA from 1 species
GAUGAACGCUAGCGGCAGGCUUAAUACAUGCAAGUCGAGGGGCAGCAUGAGUGUAGCAAUACAUUUGAUGGCGACCGGCAAACGGGUGCGGAACACGUACACAACCUUCCUAUAAGUGGGGAAUAGCCCAGAGAAAUUUGGAUUAAUACCCCGUAACAUAAUGAUGUGGCAUCACAUUAUUAUUAUAGCUACGGCGCUUAUUGAUGGGUGUGCGGCUGAUUAGAUAGUUGGCGGGGUAACGGCCCACCAAGUCUACGAUCAGUAGCUGAUGUGAGAGCAUGAUCAGACAAACGGGAACUGGGACACGGGCCCGAAUCCUACGGGGGGCAGCAGUAAGGAAUAUUGGUCAAUGGACGCAAGUCUGAACCAGCCAUGCCGCGUGAAGGAUUAAGGUCCUCUGGAUUGUAAACUUCUUUUAUCUGGGACGAAAAAAGGCGAUUCUUCGUCACUUGACGGUACCAGAUGAAUAAGCACCGGCUAACUCCGUGCCAGCAGCCGCGGUAAAAC